AGCCGGGCGCACGGAGAUGGCGUCGAGCGCAUCCCGCCCCCGACGCACAGAGAUGACGUCACGCUCCCGCCGGGGAGCGCCGCCUAUCUUUGAGAGGAGGAAAUUGGCCGCCUGCCCACCUUGUCCCACGCCCCCUUUGGUGGGAAAAUGGAACACCUAUCCCUCUGCAUGGGUCUAUUCUCUUCUCCUGAUGCUUCCUAGACCUCACCUCCUAUUUCCUGCCUCAGCUAUGGGCCAUUAGCUUUUUACUGACAGGUGCUGCUUCCAUACAGGCACAACAGCUUCCCUCCGUACUCACUGUCCAGGUUUCCACAAACUGUUCUGUGUCCUGACUGGGUCAAUGUCAACACUCUGGUUCUAAUAGUCCACUCCAGUCUUCCAAGAUACUGCUUUUGGAGAAAACCUCAUAAAGAGAACUCCUGAUCUCCCUGUGGUAUUUCUUACAACAUGGGGAUCACAGGACCCAGAUGUAGAACUCUCAGCUCCUUCUCCACCACAUGUUCUGUCUGUGUGAUGCCAUGCUUCCAGUCAUGAAAAUGAUGGACUAAACCUCUGAACUGUGUAUGUAUGUCUUAGUGUUGUAUUGCUGUGAAGAGACACCAUGGCCACAGCAACUCCUAUGGAAGAAAGCAUUUGAUUGGGAUGUGCUUAAAGUUUGAGAGGCUUAGUCCACGGAGGGGAGCCCGGUUUUACACAGGCAAGCAUGGUGCUAGAGAAGUUGUUGAGAAUCCUGCGUCUGGAAGCUGGCAGACAGCAGGAAGGAAGAGACUCUGGGUUUGCGAUGGGAUUUUUGAAACUUCAAAGCCCAGCCUCAGUGACACACUUUCUCGAGCAAGACCAGACCUCUUAAUCCUUUCAAAUAGUACCACUCUCCAUGAUCCUAUGGGGGCCAUUUUCAUUCAAACCACCACAUUCCUCUCCCUGACCCCAUGGACUAGUAGCUAUGUAAUAAUGCAGAAUUUGUUUAGUCCAACUUCAAAAAUCCCCCAUAGUGUAUCACAAUCUCAAUACUGUUUUAAAGAUAAAAGUCUCUUGUGAAACUCAAGGCAAUCUCUUAACUGUAACUCUUGUAAAAUCAAAAUUCAAAGAGCAGAUCACAUACUUCCAACAUGCAUUGGCACAGAAUAUGCAUUGUCUUUCCAAAAGGGAGGAAGGGUUGCAUCAUGAGGAAACAGUGCACCAAUGCAGGGCCAAGAACUAGCUGGAUAAACUCCAAAAUACAUCUCCACAUCUUAUGUCAAAGCACUCCUCAGAUCUCCAGCCCCUUUCAGCUUUGCUGACUGUAACACACUUCUCUUUCUGAGGCUGGUUCUGCUCCCUGCCAGCAGCCCCUUUCAGCAGGUGUUCCAUGGCUCUGAUGCCAUCCAGUUUUUUUAGGAUAUCAGAAUCACAGGAAGCAUUUGAGCUCAACCUUUGUGGGGAGGCUUCAAUUCAGUCUUUAAGAUGUGAUCAAGGAAUGUGCAUUUGCAGGAAGUUCCUAGGUAUAUAGAGGUUGUGAUCUGGAAAUAAAAAGUUGGAGACCACGUGCACAAAUAGGCCAUGUUAUGAGUAUAUGGUUUAUGUGUAAGUGCAGAUUUUGUUUUUAUAUAACAUUGUUUAUCUAGUGUGUAACAUGCUUUUUUUUUUCCUUUUAUUCAACAAACUCCCUCCGUUUACUUAUUUUUCUAUAUGUGCUUCCUGCUGCAAUUUGAGUAGUACCAAAAAGCAUGGAAGGAGGUUGCCCAUCAUCUGGCCACUAGGGAGGGUGAAGGCAUUUGCAUUCUCAUAGAGCACCUUACCUUGUGAAGGCUAUGAAGAUCCUGGAGUUGUGCUGUGAACUGCUGCUGGCUCAGUGUAGCUUGAGUGAGGCUAGCAUUUAGGAUGGUGAAUCAGGUGGAUGAUGAGUUCAAGGUCAACGGAGGCUACAUGGCCUGACUCUGUCUCAAGAACAAAACAAAACAUUCCUAAAUAAACAACAACCAAACCUUCACCAAAAUAAAAAAAUAAAAACUAACCUGAAAACAGGAGGUGACUAAGCUGGUAAGGUUUCUGUUGCAAGAGGAUUUGAGUUCUGAACCUCAGUGCCACAAUAAAAUCCAUGAGCUGCUGAUAGCAUCUAUAACACCAGCAAUGGGGAGGCAGGGAGACCAGGGGAGACCAGAGCUCAUUAACCAGCCAGCCUAAACAAAUAGAUUGCAUGCUGCAGCACAAGUAUAGCAUCAGAGAACAGCUUGUGGGAGUCUGAUGGUUUCUUCCACUGUGGAUUUUAGGGACUGAAUUUAAGUUAUAAAGCUUUGUCUUUUGCCUGCUGAGACAUCUUGCUGGUCAUUUAUCUGAAUUUGUGGCUGGGGGAUUUUUUCUUGAUAGAUUCUUAGGCACGUGAACAGGAAAGAUAUCUUUCUGAAUCAAGUUUCAAAGUUCUGAGAGCAGGACCCAAAGGCUUCCCUUUCCUGAGCAUAGACGUCACCAGUAAACAGAGACAUGCUUGGCGUAGUCACAAGUAGCAUGGGCCGCUUGAAUCAGUUGUCCACCAGUCAGGCAGAAAAUGUUGAAGUGUGUUCCUUGUACACUGGCAUUUUGAGAGAGAUCUUGAUCACAUUUUUUUCCCACAGCACCCUUCAGGGAGUAAUUGACCUGUAGACUGGUUGACCACAGAACCUGGUUCUCCUUAAGGUGCCAGGACACUCACAUGACAACUGUCUCUAACAAAUUCCAUACACUUCCCAAUAGAUAAGAUGUCUCUAAGUACUUUUGGUUUUGAAAAAGUUGUGCAAGUAGGGUAAAAAAAAAUUGUGAAUCAGUAAAUAAACUGAGCACAUGGGAACAUUUUCCCAGCAACUCUAACAUGUACUUUGUCUCUUGCAAGCUGGUGUAGAAAGUCUCUUCUAGGGUAAAACUGUCAGAUUACGCUUGGGAGGCAGAGGCAGGCAGAUCUUUGAGUUUGAGACCAUCCUGGUCUAUAAAGCUAGUUCUAAGGCUGCAAGGGUCACACAGAGAAAUUCUGUCUCAAAAAAAAAAAAAAUCAAAAAAGAAAGAAAAAAGGAUAUAAUGUGAUAUAGGUUCUUUCAGCAUAUAUAAAAUAUGUAUGCAUACAUGAAUACACAUGUAUAUGUGUAUGAAAACACACAAAUGUAUACACAAUAGGCUUACAUAGGGGUUUAUGUUCCACUAUUAUAUUUUUAAUAGAAUUCUUGCUGGGCAGUGGUGGUCAUGCCUUUGUCUCUCAAGUGCUCAAUUUAAAGGCAGACAUCACCACAGCCAGUUUCCAUGAUCUCUCUGAAGAAAGGAAAGGAAACGUGAAAUCUUGAGUUUUAUAAUUUUGUGUUCCUCUUACAUAAGUGGAUUCUAACUUGGCUGAAUCUAGAUCUGGACUAAUCUGGGAAGCUGCUGGACUGCAGACAGAGGUGUUUAGCUGGAAAUAGUAAACUCGACCAGUUUGAACCUGUGGCCUGAUGACUGGGGAGGGUGUGGCUCCUGUUAUUUGUUUCGAAUAGAAUUUGGAGAAAUCCUUUCCUCUCUUAAAAGGGAAA